rnacentral:lncRNA from 1 species
AUAUGCACGCCAAUAAAAUCGCAGUGAGGAAACUAGAGUUAGGUGUAGCUGUGCAGGACACACAAUUUAACCACGUGCAGGGUGCAAGAUUAAAUAUAUACUAAUUUUGUUAGUUCAACUACACCGCGGCAAACCGAUUUGGACUCCAAAUGGAGCGCUGAGAAAAACGAUGAUGAUAAUAAUGGCGUGUCCAUUUGCAUGCUCUGCAACGACAGGCCGAAAAGUGGGGCACAUUUUUG